rnacentral:rRNA from 1 species
CCCUCGCGGUCCGACCCUCAAACCACCGCGUACCAAACUUUUCGUUGCCUCGGCGGGCCGGGCCUACGCCCACCGCCUCACCCCCCGCUCACCCGGGGAGGCGAGGGGGGUCGCGCCCGCCGCAGGACACCAAAAAAAACCGUUUCGUAUGACGAACGUCUGAUAUUCUUUUAGCGAAUGCUAUAAAGUACAACUUUCAACAAUGGAUCUCUUGGCUCUGGCAUCGAUGAAGAACGCAGCGAAAUGCGAUAACUAGUGUGAAUUGCAGAUUUCAGUGAAUCAUCGAGUCUUUGAACGCACAUUGCGCCCCUUGGUAUUCCUCGGGGCAUGCCUAUUCGAGCGUCGUUUCCACCCUCAAGCUCAGGCUUGGUGUUGGGGAUCGCCCCUCCCUCGCGAGGCGGCGGCCCUUGAAUUCAUCGGCGGUGCCGGUGUGGCCCUGAGCGCAGCAGCGAUGCAGCUCUCGACCCUCCGAAUAGCCGUGCAAGACAGCAGGCGGCGCCCUUCGCGGCCCGCCCGCGAAAAUCCAAACGUCGACCUCGAAUUAGGUAGGGAUACCCGC